rnacentral:rRNA from 1 species
CCUACGGGUGGCAGCAGUGGGGAAUAUUGCACAAUGGGGGAAACCCUGAUGCAGCGACGCCGCGUGAGUGAAGAAGUAUUUCGGUACGUAAAGCUCUAUCAGCAGGGAAGAAAAUGACGGUACCUGACUAAGAAGCACCGGCUAACUACGUGCCAGCAGCCGCGGUAAUACGUAGGGGGCAAGCGUUAUCCGGAUUUACGUGGUGUAAAGGGAGCGUAGACGGCAGCGCAAGUCUGGAGUGAAAUCCCAUGGCUUAACCAUGGAACUGCUUUGGAAACCGUGCAGCUAGAGUGCAGGAGAGGUAAGCGGAAUUCCUAGUGUAGCGGUGAAAUGCGUAGAUAUUAGGAGGAACACCAGUGGCGAAGGCGGCUUACUGGACUGUAACUGACGUUGAGGCUCGAAAGCGUGGGGAGCAAACAGGAUUAGAUACCCGGGUAGUC